rnacentral:rRNA from 1 species
CAAAAACAUCGCCUCCCGCAAAACAUCAAAGUAUAGGAGGUCUUACCUGCCCAGUGACGAAGAGUUUAACGGCCGCGGUAUUUUGACCGUGCUAAGGUAGCGCAAUCACUUGUCUUUUAAAUGAAGACCUGUAUGAAUGGUUUAACGAGGGCUUAACUGUCUCCCGUUUCUAGUCAAUGAAAUUGAUCUGCCCGUGCAGAAGCGGGCAUAAAUAUACAAGACGAGAAGACCCUUUGGAGCUUAAGAUAAAAAGUCAACUGUAUACAAACCUUCCCGCUAAGACUAGGUAAAACAAAACAUAAAACUGACCCACAUCUUCGGUUGGGGCGACCACGGGGGAAAACGAAGCCCCCGCAUGGAAUGGGAUGAUCCUAAAACCAAGAGGGACACCUCUAAGUCACAGAACAUCUGACCAAAUAGAUCCGGCAAUCAGCCGAUCAACGGACCAAGUUACCCUAGGGAUAACAGCGCAAUCCUCUUCAAGAGUCCAUAUCGACAAGAGGGUUUACGACCUCGAUGUUGGAUCAGGACAUCCUAAUGGUGCAGCCGCUAUUAAGGGUUCGUUUGUUCAACGAUUAAAGUCCUACGUGAUCUGA